UCUAGUUGGGUCUAACAAAUUGAAUUGCAGUUUUUGUGAGUAUGCUAAAGCCACUCUGCAGAUGGACAACUCGGGUUAUUACACUUUCUGAGUAUGAGCAAUUUAUGUCAUUAAUGAAAUUUUUCCAAUAGACUACAGUGCCACAUUGAUUCUCUGGGAAAUACCAAAUUACUAGACCAAUAGGUGACAGACAACACAUGAAGUUUUAGAUUUUAAUUGUCGGUGAUUUUUUUUUAAAUAUCAAGGUAUUAAAAACCCUGGCCAUUCCCAGAGCUGGUGCAUCACAUUUCUUAUCUCUCUUUAUCCCAGUUAUCUGUUGAAUCUUGCUUGUUUCUGACUUCAGAAGUGUAUUACAAGCAUGAAGGUUUGAAUGAGAUUUCCUGCUGCCUGAUAUGUAGGGGGAGAAGAAGGAGAGGCUGAAUGAAUGAUAUGGGUUGAGGGAGGGAGAGAAAAGUGAGAAAGAAAAAAAGGGAAAAGGUGUCAUAUUGUUCAGUUUGUUGGGUUUUAUUUGAAUUCUAGCUAUGCCACCUGGUGGCUGUUUACACUUUUAAUUGCCCUGGUUCAAUUUCAUUUAACAAAAAAAGAGAGGUGUGUUUGUAACCUAUCACUUUAAUUACCUUGGCUUUGUCCUCAGGAAUCGUGGCAUUUAAAGUCUGGUGAGGUCCUUGGGAGAUACCAGCAGACCUUGAGCAGAGAGGAACUGAGGAUUAAAUCCGUCUAAUCUUUUGGAGACACCGUUUAGGAUUUCCUACAAGUUUCUGCAGGCCUGAAUGGAAUGACAAAGGAGAGAAAAGAGGAUAUUUAAAUCUUUCCCUAUACCUUUUCUCACUGAAUAACAGAAUAGGUCAAUGGAAUUGUUUUGAGCAGAAGACUACUGGAAAGAGAAAGGAUCAAACAACUUCUCCUUUCUCUGCUAUGCCUUCAUCAAAAUGCACCAGAUGGCUUCUGGUCAUUUAAAAAAAUAUGCACCCUGGACUUUGAGGGACCCAUUCCCCCAUCCAUCUGUUCAAAUUAUUUUAUUCUCAAAGUCUGUAUAAAGUUUUAAAUUUCAUCCAGACUGACAUAUUCCACUUUCCCACACACAUGCUGAACUGCAAACAGACUGAAGCAACUUUUCAGUGAGCAGUUGAAAUAGCAGUGAACAUUCUGUGCCAUCACAUCAGCUUAUCUGAUGAGUGUGCAAUAUUACAAAUGCAAUAUUAUCUAAAUGAUGUGACCAGGUCAAAAAUGUCAAUCUCUUCCUAGACCUCCAAUAUUUCUUUUUACAGAAAGCAAAUCCAAAGUGUGAUCUCCAU
rnacentral:lncRNA from 1 species